rnacentral:rRNA from 1 species
AUUGAACGCUGGCGGCAGGCUUAACACAUGCAAGUCGAGCGAGCGGCGGACGGGUGAGUAAUGUCUGGGAAACUGCCUGAUGGAGGGGGAUAACUACUGGAAACGGUAGCUAAUACCGCAUACCAUCAGAUGUGCCAAGAUGGGAUUAGCUAGUAGGUGGGGUAAUGGCUCAACUAGGCUACGAUCCCUAGCUGGUCUGAGAGGAUGACCAUCCACACUGGAACUGUGACUCGGUCCAGACGCCUACGGGAGUCAGCAGUGGGGAAGAUUGCACAAUGGGCGCAAGCCUGAUGCAGCCAUGCCGCGUGUGUGAAGAAGGCCUUCGGGUUUUAAAGCACUUGCAGCGAGGAGGCGUUACUCGCAGAAGAAGCACCGGCUAACACCGUGCCAGCAGCCGCGGUAAUAC